AUAUUUGAAUGAGGGAGAGAGGUUGCUGAAAACCCUCAGGAAGGAGAAAUCUUGGAGUAAGACUUUUGAGUCGGCUGCAUUUUAUACCCUCAAAGGUCAGGUCUGUUUCAACAUGGGCCAGAUGGUGAUUGCCAAGAAAAUGCUGAGGAAGGCCUUGAAGCUCCUCAAUCGAGUCUUUCCUUCCAACUUAAUCUCCUUGUUUCUCCAGACCCAUGUUGAGAAAAACAGAAACUUUCAUUAUGUGAAUCAGAAUCAGCAGGCCCAGGAGAGCUCACCUCCAGGGUAAGGAGGGAGCUGGGGAGAGCUGAGUGUCUCAUCUUCUUCCCCAGAGAGAAACCUACACAUAGGCCAACAGUCAGCCCCCAGAGCCUGGGCCUCUAGGGAGCAUGUGGAGUCCUGGUGGCUCACUGGUGGGAGAGGGAGUGAGGGGGAGUGGGACUCCCAGGCCAGGGCUGGGUUGCCUGAGAACCACUUAAGAGGCACCUUUUGCCAAAGGGAGUUCAGGUGACAAAAACUUAAGGGAGCCCUGUGCCAGGUGAGCUCAGUGCCCCUCCAUACUCAUUUCACCCACUAAUACUUCUGGCCAUAAUGUUCCAAUAGGAACUUGCACCACCUGUUCAUAGAGCCUCAGUCACAAACCCUUUUCCAAUUCAGUGCUAGAACCUUGGGUGGUGUCCACAACCCCAAGAAAAGGGGCAGGUCCUUGAAACAUUUGCCCAAAGACAAAGCGGCCCACCCAUUUUUGUAUCUCUGUAGAUAAGGUGGGUUACAUGGGGUAUCCAUCCAUCAAGCUUAUACCAUUCAGAGUUGUGCAUUUCAAUGUACGCAAAUGUUACCUAUAAAAGAACUAUACACAAUAAUGAAGUGGGGGUAAGGGAAAAAAUAUAUUCUACCUACUUAGCAAUUGAUACUGAAAGAGAUGCCAGCUAGUUGGGGAUAUGGAGAGCUGAACAGUGGAUAGAUAUCUCAUCCAUCUUGGGAGAGGCCAGUAGCAAUAUUCCUUCAGGUUCUGCCCAAGAUACAAACAUCAGUUUCUGUGAGCAAGUUGCUGCAAUUCUUUUGCAACCCCCACCCAAAAGCUGCCUUCCUCAGUUUCCCAAAAGCAUUCCCUUGACUGUGGGGGUGGCUGAGAUGGAAAUGAAGUAGAGCUGAGCCCCUUUGCAGGGUGGCAACAGGUUCCUGAAUAUAGGAGUUUCUCCUGCAGCCUCAGGUCACACCAGGAGGGGAGGGGCUAGAAGAAGUUCUGCAGAGAUCUGAGAGAUAAGAGAAUUGGAAUGUGGGUCACACAGAGAGUUGCCAGAAGAAAAUAGGCUCUCCAGUUAAAUUUCAAGUUCAGAGCAAUAUGAAUGAUUUUUUUUUUUUUUUAGUAUACAUUAUUUCACACAAAAUAUUUAGGACAUGUGCCUUCUCAAAGAAUUGUUUUGAACUUCAAAUUUAACUGGGCAUCCCAUAUUUUCAUUCCCUAAAUCUGACAAGCCUAAGGUAAAACCACAUUUUGUAAAAGGAAUAAGUCCCUGAACAGGAAAAGACAAAAAAAUGAUGAUCAGGAAGAAACUCAGAACUAGUUACUUAAAAGACUCUCCAGUCAAAAGGUUCUCAUCUCAAGAAUGGGGACAACAAGAAACAAUAUUAAAUGCCAGAGUUUCUACAGCUUCAUGAACUCCUAUGUUCUAAGGGAUUUUACCUUCUCCACAUUUCCAUAGAGUCUUUAAAAAAUAAUUUCCACAACAGAAUGAAUGUCAUCAAUGUCUAAACCGAAAGUACCCAGAAUUCCUCUUUAAGAAACUCUAGGGCAUCUCUUUUUUCCUUCUCAUAUUUAUUUAAAAUCUGUUUUUUUGAUAGAUAUUUCUAAUUAUAUUUUGUUUUCUUGGUGUUCUUAAAUUACUAAUACUGUAGCUAGUUUAGGAUCCCAUUUUUUUAAAUCACAAACAGUGAGGACCAGGGGUUACAUUGUGGAGGCUGAGACUAAGACCCCAGUUAUUCCUGGUAGGUGGCCAGCCAUCCCCCUUGAAUACUUCCAGCGCAGGAAGUUCACCAUCUUCUGCCACAUUCCAUUCCAUCACCAGAAUGUGUUUUACUCUGUUUGGGGUGCUAUAACAAAAUACCACUGACUGGGAGGCUUAUAAACAGCAGAAGUUUAUUGCUCACACUUCUGGACGCUGGAAGUCAGGUCCAAGUGCCAGUGUGGCUAGGCCAGGGCCCUCUUCAGUGUCACAGCCCUCUCCUCCUGGUGAAAGGGUGCCAGGGAGCUCUGUGGAAUCUCUUCUAUAAGAGCACUAAUCCCAUUCAUGAAGCUUCCACCCUCAUAACCUAAUCAUGGCCUUGUCAACUUAAAAAAAAAAAGCACAACCUGAAAGCUGAGCGUUAAGUUUUAUCUGGGGCAAUAUUAGGACUUAAGCCCAGGAGACAGCAUCUCAUAGCUCUGAGAAACCACUCUGAGGAGGUGAGGUGGGAGCUAGGUUGUAUAGGAGUUUUUGCAACAAAGAUCAGGUAGCAGAAACAAAAGAGGCCUGGGAUCACUGAAAUCAUUCCUUUGAUAUGCACCUCUGCUAUCAGGGCCAGUAUCCUGAGUUUUCACAGCUUGCAGGACUCACCAGUUCUCACCAUUUGGAGGUGACUGCAUUCACAGAUGACCGUGACAUUCUUUGUUUUAUCUUCAGCUACAGACCGGCGGCUAUUUCAGAGCUAUCUGAAGUACCACCCAAAGAGGAAAAGGGGGAAUAUCAGGAUAUGAUAAAGUGAGGGGGCAGGUACAUGCAGCUGUACACACAUUUUACAAAAGUUUCCUGCUCCUGCUGAUAUCCUCAAAAUUACUUCUAGUCACAAGGAGCAGACAUCACCAUGAAGGAUUUUAGUAUUUUUCUAGAUAUGAGGAGAUGCAAGAAUUGGGCACAUAAAAUCUUCUCCUAAAAAUAUCUAAUUAUCUGAAGAACUGUUCUUCCAGUUUUCCCAGAGCACAGAGGGCCUCACUCCUGAUUUUCAUCCUGAGCUCCACUCUGGAUGCUGUGGAUCCGUAGCUGCAGUGGGUUAUGAUUUAAUCCACGUAGAGGCUGGUGGCAAGAGCCAGACUUCAGUUCACAGCCCAGGAGCCCCAUCUACUUUGACCAUCACUUUGAGGAGUUAGAAUUCAACCUGUGAAUUUUGGGAGGAUGCAUUCAGACCACAGCAGUAUGAAAUUGUUUAAAAUGUUCUUUUCAAGAGUUCCCCUUGUGGCCCAGAGGAAACGAAUUCAACUAGUACCCAUGAGGACAUGGGUUCAAUCCUGGCCUUACUCAGUGGGUCAGAGAUCCAGCAAUGCUGUGAGCUGUGGUGUAGGUCAAAGAUGUGGUGGAUCCCAUGCUGCUGCAGCUGUGGUGUGGGCUAGCAACUGAUUUGACCCCUAGCCUGGGAACUUCUAUAUGCCGCGGGUGUGGCCCUAGAAAGCAGAAAAAAAAAAA
rnacentral:lncRNA from 1 species